GAGCAAGGACCAGGACAGCCAAU
rnacentral:piRNA from 1 species